rnacentral:lncRNA from 1 species
CCUCACCGUCCCCGCAUCCUCCCUCGUCCCUGCAUCCCCCCUCAGUGUCCCCAGCGUCCCCUCAGUGUCCCCUCAGGUCCCACCUGGUCCUCGGUGUCCCCUCACCGUCCCCGCAUCCUCCCUCGUCCCUGCAUCCCCCCUCAGUGUCCCCAGCGUCCCCUCGGUGUCCCCCCGGGUCCCACCUGGUCCUCGGUGUCCCCUCACCGUCCCCACACCCUCCCUCGUCCCUGUGUCCCCCCUCCGCGUCCCCAGCGUCCCCUCGGUGUCCCCAGUGUCCCCAGCGUCCCCUCGGUGUCCCCAGCGUCCCCAGCGUCCCCUCGGUGUCCCCCCGGGUCCCACCUGGUCCUCGGUGUCCCCUCGGUGUCCCCGCGUCCUCCCUCGUCCCUGCGUCCCCCCUCUGCGUCCCCAGUGUCCCCUCGGUGUCCCCGCAUCCUCCCUCGUCCCUGCGUCCCCCCUCUGCGUCCCCAGCGUCCCCUCGGUGUCCCCAGCGUCCCCGUGUCCCCUCGGUGUCCCCCCGGGUCCCACCUGGUCCUCGGUGUCCCCUCGGUGUCCCCGCGUCCUCCCUCGUCCCUGCGUCCCCCCUCCGCGUCCCCAGCGUCCCCAGCGUCCCCUCGGUGUCCCCAGCGUCCCCAGCGUCCCCUCGGUGUCCCCCGGGUCCCACCUGGUCCUCGGUGUAGGCCAGGAUCCCGGCCAGGGGCCCGGCCGCCGCCGCCCUCACGGCUUCCUUCACCUCGGCGUAGGUGGCCGGGGCGGCCAGGCGGCACGUGAGGUCCACGACGGACACGUCGGCCACCGGCACCCGGAACGCCAUCCCCGUCAGCCGCCUGGGGACACCGGGGUGGGGACGCCGUGGGGACACCCCCCGGGGACACCCGGCACCCCCCCGGGCACGGGGGGACGCGGCAGAGCCGCCGCCGCCACCACCGACCCCCCUGAGAUGCCACCGCCGCCGCCGACUCCUGCCACGGGGGUCCUCGUGGGGGCGGGUGACACCACGGGUGACACCCCGGAGGCGCGGUGACACCACGGGUGACACCCUGGAGGCACGGUGACACCCUGGGGACACCCUGAGGACGCGGGGACACCCCUGGGACACCCCACGUGGCCAAGCAGCACCCCUGGAGCAGCUGCGGGGGUCCCCAUGGGGACGACUGGCGCUGUAGGUGACACUACAAGCUCACGGUGACACCCUGGGGUACAGGAACACCCGUAGCACACCCAUGUGGCCAAGCAGCACCCAAGUCCCACCACCGACCCCUCCGAGAUGCCACCACCACCCCUGGGGCAGCUGC